rnacentral:rRNA from 1 species
AGAGUUUGAUCCUGGCUCAGGAUGAACGCUAGCGNNAGAAUACAUGCAAGUCGAACGAGUCGCAAGAUGUGGCGCACGGGUNNNUAACACGUAGGUAACCUACCUUUUACCGGGGAAUAACGAUGGGAAACCAUCGCUAAUACCGCAUGAGAUAGCAGAGGGGCAUCCCUUAGUUAUUAAAGAUUUAUUGGUAAAAGAUGGGCCUGCGGCUGAUUAGGAGGGGGUGUAACGGACCACCAAGCCGAUGAUCAGUAGGGGUUCUGAGAGGAAGAUCCCCCACACUGGCACUGAGAUACGGGCCAGACUCCUACGGGAGGCAGCAGUAGGGAAUAUUGGGCAAUGGAGGCAACUCUGACCCAGCCAUGCCGCGUGCAGGAAGAAGGCGCUCAGCGUUGUAAACUGCUUUUGUCCGGGAAGAAUGAUCGCUACGCGUAGCGAGAGUGACGGUACCGGGUGAAUAAGCACCGGCUAACUCCGUGCCAGCAGCCGCGGUAAUACGGAGGGUGCAAGCGUUGUCCGGAUUUAUUGGGUUUAAAGGGUGCGUAGGUGGCUUUUUAAGUCCGGGGUGAAAGGCGGUGGCUCAACCAUCAGCAGUGCCCUGGAUACUGGGAAGCUCGAGUAAGUUUGAGGCCGGUGGAACGGGUGGUGUAGCGGUGAAAUGCAUAGAUACCAUCCAGAACACCGAUUGCGGAGGCAGCCGGCUAAGACUUCACUGACACUGAGGCACGAAAGCGUGGGGAGCAAACAGGAUUAGAUACCCUAGUAGUCC